rnacentral:misc_RNA from 1 species
AAGUCGUAACAAGGUUUCCACGUAUCCACGUUUAACCACCCGUGCACCUUCAUGCUAUACACGCGCAACACGUGGCAGUUGUGGAACAGACGUCAAGGCUCCUUGGGUCAGGCAAGCACGGCUUAGGCCUAGUUUUCUUGGCAAACACGUUGAGCAUACACCGCGAGCUCAUGAACUGCGGAGAGGAUCCGACUGGGUGAGACGCGGGGCUCGUGUUUUCGGGAAUUCUACGCCACAUCCGUGUGACUGGCUUGUUGGAUGCGCCGAAUUAACUCUUCCACGGCUAUGCUGGUGAAGCGCAUCCCAGUGGUUAAUUUCUACCCCUGGAAAAAAUUCACACAACUCUUACCCAACCGCGCUUCGGCCAAAAGCUGGAGUCGGAAACCCGAACAACUGUUAACAAUGGAUAUCUUGGCUCUC